rnacentral:lncRNA from 1 species
AAUAGUAACAAAACUGGCAUAUCUGAAGACUCUCCUGAGGUGUUCUUGGAAUUGAGUUUCUUAAACAGCAUUGAGAGACUCAGAGAGUCAGUGCAGAGGGAUGGGACAGAGAGCCAAAUCAUCUCAGCACGCUCAACAAACAUCUUUAUCAAGAACUUGGGUGAAGAUUGGGAUAAACUUCUCUCCCUUCUCCUGUUUUCUCUAACAGAGUCCAUCAGGAUCAGCUAUUCCUUCAUGUCUUACUGUGAGUUUAUAUUCAUGAUAAUAUACAAAAUUUCAUUUGUUUCAUGCAGGGUCUCAUCCUGUUUAAAAGUCUCGUCUUCAGACACAAUAUUUCUGGGAAUUCUUGAAGAAUGCUUCGUAUAUUUUCAUUGACAAUGACCACACGUUGUGUAGUGGGCAGUCUUGUGGCUUCUACUAAAUUAUACUAUAUCUUCUGGGCCAUGUUGUUCUGCUAGGAACCAUUUUUUCUUCUGGGUUUUAUAGUGCCUACUAGGGACUGCUGUUGAUGACUAUUGCAUCCUUGGGAAUCACCACACACUGCAGCCACCAUGUCCCUGUCAGGCCCUGCUAUUCUUUUCCACUGGGCACCAGAGACUCCUAUCAUGCAACAUUAGCAUUUUUGUCAUUUCCAGUUAGGCACUACAGUUGACAAACUGGAGUUUUCAUGGAACCAGAACUGCUCAGUGGUUUGUGAAGUGAGGAGAGAAAUACCGUCUCCCUUUUCUGUGUUUUAUUCUGUGGCAAGUGGGGAGCAAGAGUGAGCCUUCUGCUCUUAUACGUUUCCAGAAUAAUUUGAUCGUACCGAUCUUUUCUUUUUCUUCCCCCACUCCUUUUCUUUUUCUUUCCUUUCUUCCUCCCUGCCUCCCUACCUCGCUGGCUCUCUCUCCUUUUUUCCUUUGUAUUCUGUUUUCCUAAGAACUGGGCAUUAGUCCAUGUGAAAGCAGGCAGAACUUUUUUAGUACCCUUACUCUUCUUAUAAAUUGCCUCCCAGAGACUUCUAAAUCUCUCAAAUAAAGGGAUCAUGGAGGUCA